rnacentral:rRNA from 1 species
CCUACGGGUGGCAGCAGUGAGGAAUAUUGGUCAAUGGGCGGGAGCCUGAACCAGCCAAGCCGCGUGAGGGAAGAAGGUACAGCGUAUCGUAAACCUCUUUUGUCAGGGAACAAAGGCGGGGACUAGUCCCCGGAUGAGGGUACCUGAAGAAAAAGCAUCGGCUAACUCCGUGCCUGCAGCCGCGGUAAUACGGAGGGGGCAAGCGUUGUUCGGAAGGACUGGGCGUAAAGGGGGUGUAGGUGGUUUGAUAAGUUAGAUGUGUAAUACCCAGGGCUUAACUCGGGUGCUGCAUCUAAAACUGUUAGACUUGAGUACUGGAGAGGAUAGUGGAAUUCCUAGUGUAGCGGUGGAAUGCGUAGAUAUUAGGAGGAACAUCAGUGGCGAAGGCGACUAUCUGGACAGCAACUGACACUGAGGCACGAAAGCGUGGGGAGCAAACAGGAUUAGAUACCCCAGUAGUC